GACGAACGCUGGCGGCGUGCUUAACACAUGCAAGUCGAACGCAUCCUCCGGGGUGAGUGGCAGACGGGUGAGUAACGCGUGGGAACGUGCCCUUCAGUUAGGGAUAACCCAGGGAAACUUGGGCUAAUACAGGAUACGUGCGAGAGCAGAAAGAUUUAUCGCUGAAGGAUCGGCCAGCGUCUGAGUAGCUAGUUGGUGGGGUAAUGGCCCACCAAGGCGACGAUCAGUAGCUGGUCUGAGAGGAUGAUCAGACACAUUGGGACUGAGACACGGCCCAAACUACUGCGGGAGGCAGCAGUGGGGAAUAUUGGACAAUGGGCGCAAGCCUGAUCCAGUCAUGCCUCGUGAGUGAUGAAGGCCUUAAGGUUGUAAAGCUCUUUCGUCCGGGACGAUAAUGACGGUACCGGAAGAAGAAGCCCCGGCUAACUUCGUGCCAGCCGCCGCAGUAA
rnacentral:rRNA from 1 species